rnacentral:rRNA from 1 species
AAACGGGAGAGUAACACACUGGUAAUCUACCCCAAAGUUGGGAAUAACUUCGAGAAAUCGGGGCUAAUACCCAAUGUGCUGCGUUGACAUAAGUCUUCACAGUAAAGUUCCGGCGCUUUGGGAUGAGCCUAUGUCUCAUCAGCUUGUUGGUAAGGUAAAAGCUUACCAAGGCUACGACGAGUAGCGGGUGUGAGAGCACGACCCGUCUCACUGGGACUGAGACACUGCCCAGACUCCUACGGGAGGCUGCAGUCAGGAAUCUUCCACAAUGCACGAAAGUGUGAUGGAGCGACGCCGCGUGAUUGAUGAAGCCCUUCGGGGUGUAAAAAUCUUUUCUCUGGGACGAACUAAUGACGGUACCAGAGGAAUAAGGGGCUGCUAAUCUCGUGCCAGCAGCAGCGGUAAUACGAGAGCCUCGAACGUUACCCGGAUUUAUUGGGCGUAAAGCGUACGCAGGUGGUUUAUUAAGUCAACGGUAAAAUCCUUCAGCUCAACUGGAGAUCUGCCGCUGAUACUGAUAAACUAGAGGCUGGGAGAGGUAAGCGGAAUUGCCGGUGUAGGGGUCAAAUCCGUUAAUAUCGGCAGGAACACCAAAUGCGAAGGCAGCUUACAAGCACAGUCCUGACACUCAUGUACGAAAGCGUGGGGAGCGAAGCGGAUUAGAUACCCGCGUAUUCCACGCCGUAAACGAUGGAUACUAGACAUAGGGAGUA